rnacentral:rRNA from 1 species
UACGUAGGCAGCAAGCGUUGUUCGGAAUUACUGGGCGUAAAGAGUGUGUAGGCGGUGCCGUAAGUUUGGCGUGAAAUCUCCCGGCUUAACUGGGAGGGUGCGCCGAAGACUGCGGUGCUUGAGGACUGGAGAGGAGACUGGAAUUCAUGGUGUAGCAGUGAAAUGCGUAGAGAUCAUGAGGAAGACCAGUGGCGAAGGCGGGUCUCUGGACAGUUCCUGACACUGAGACACGAAGGCCAGGGGAGCAAACGGG